CCAAUAUCCUUCGACUCUUCCAUGCCCUACGUAUGUCUUCAGCAUAAGAGACUCGUCCAUUUUCAUGAUCGGUUGCAAAUUUCAUCAUGUCCGCAAUUUGGGGAAUCUCCUGUUUUCCUCCCAGUUGUCUAAGGACUCGACCGGGAGCAUAUGGUCUAGUCCCUCUUAACCCGGCAAAUAUCAAGUAAGGGGUCUUUUCCGCUCGAAUCACCAUUUGCUUUGUC
rnacentral:lncRNA from 1 species